UCCGAUUUGUCACCGGCAGUCUCCUAUGAGUCCCCGUCUUUCACGCUGGCAACAUAGGACAGGGGUUGCACUCGUUGCGGGACUUAACCCAACAUCUCACGACACGAGCUGACGACAGCCAUGCAGCACCGUCUCACAGAUUCUCCGAAGAGCACCCCUCCAUCUCUGGAAAGUUCUCGACAUGUCAAGGCCAGGUAAGGUUCUUCGCGUUGCAUCGAAUUAAACCACAUACUCCACCGCUUGUGCGGGCCCCCGUCAAUUCCUUUGAGUUUCAGUCUUGCGACCGUACUCCCCAGGCGGAUGACUUAACGCGUUAGCUCCGGCACAUCGGGACUAAAAACCCGACACACCAAGUCAUCAUCGUUUAAGGCUAGGACUAC
rnacentral:misc_RNA from 1 species